UCUCUCUCACUCUCACUCUCCUCUAUGCUGCUAUUCUGGGAAGUGGCGCUUGGAAUAACCCCCGUGUGCGUAUGAGUGUGUGUGUGCGUGUGUAUGUGUCUCCUGAUUUCACCCUGACACACGCACACAUACACACUCACAACACAGUCAGACGCACACAUUUACUGUCUGUCUGACUGCAGGAGUGGAGCUCUGGCAGCAGAAAUCCGCUCGCAGAGGAUUCCUUCCAAUUUUACGCGCAACUUUUCCUCGCCGGCUUCUUCUCUGCGGCGUUUCCAGCGCUCCCCCCUCGAUUGUUGUGGAUUUCUAACAACCACCCCCUGGCUGUUUGUAGCGGAGCGACGAGCGAAGCUCGCCCGGAAUCGGAUCUGCUGUCACCGGGCUGCUUGUUGUCAUUUUCGCACGGAGACGCGCAGCCGGAGCGCAGACAGAAGUCUUCACUUCAUCUCCGUCGCCAGUUUGGACAGGCGGUUGCCAGCACUGCACAGGUGACCUUCAGAGUGCAGUUUAAACCCUGUCAGGGACGAUUCCUUUUCUUUUGCCAUCGAGUCGAAGCAUCACUCGUGGCCUGCAGAGUGACGUGGCGACUGCUCCGCUCAAGAGCUGGAGUGAUGAAUGGAGAGAGGACAAGGUCAAGAGAGAGGGAGGAGGGAUUGUAAUUAGGCGUCCCCUGCUUUCUCCACCUCGAGUCGCCUCCUGUCACUUCCAACAUCCUUUCGCUCCGUCUCUGC
ensembl:lncRNA